UACGGAGGGUGCAAGCGUUAAUCGGAAUCACUGGGCGUAAAGCGCGCGUAGGCUGUUUGGUAAGUCGGACGUGAAAGCCCUCGGCUCAACCGAGGAACUGCGUUCGAAACUGCUGAACUUGAGUCCUGGAGAGGGUGGCGGAAUUCCGGGUGUAGGAGUGAAAUCCGUAGAUAUCCGGAGGAACACCGGUGGCGAAGGCGGCCACCUGGACAGGUACUGACGCUGAGGUGCGAAAGUGUGGGGAU
rnacentral:rRNA from 1 species